CCUACGGGUGGCAGCAGUGGGGAAUAUUGGACAAUGGGCGAAAGCCUGAUCCAGCCAUGCCGCGUGUGUGAAGAAGGCCUUCGGGUUGUAAAGCACUUUCAGUGGGGAAGAAAGCCUUGGGGCUAAUACCCUCGAGGAAGGACAUCACCCACAGAAGAAGCACCGGCUAACUCCGUGCCAGCAGCCGCGGUAAUACGGAGGGUGCGAGCAUUAAUCGGAAUUACUGGGCGUAAAGCGCGCGUAGGCGGUCUGAUAAGCCGGUUGUGAAAGCCCCGGGCUCAACCUGGGAACGGCAUCCGGAACUGUCAGGCUAGAGUGCAGGAGAGGAAGGUAGAAUUCCCGGUGUAGCGGUGAAAUGCGUAGAGAUCGGGAGGAAUACCAGUGGCGAAGGCGGCCUUCUGGACUGACACUGACGCUGAGGUGCGAAAGCGUGGGUAGCAAACAGGAUUAGAUACCCUUGUAGUC
rnacentral:rRNA from 1 species